UGUAUCAUGAUGUGUGUGCAACCUUGUACAGAAAGUCUCUGGGGCUUAGUGUGCUCAUGAAUCUGUGAUUCAACAAAUUUGACUGUUUGAGAUACUUAUUUAAGUACAAUUAUGUGUUUGUUUCUGUGACUUACUUAUUUCAUGUUGUAUCAUAACUGCAAAGUUUAUUCAUGUUAUGAGACUUUGCAGACCUUCCUUCUUUUUAAAGACUUUGAACAGUAUUCUUUUCUAAGACUAGAACUAAGCACAUGCCCAGACACAACCAAGAUGAUCCAUUGCCUGCCUCUACCAUGUCAGAGCUUUAAUUUGCCAGCAUAUGACACAAUAUUUCAGCUUAGUAGAUUCUUAAAUGUUAACUGAUAUCAAGAAUAAUCAACUUUCUUUAACCAAAAGCAUUUGAAGCUAAACAUCCUUUUGCAGUGGCUUCUGCCUGCAAAAACACACAGUCUUCUUUCACAGUUUCACCAUGCAGACAAUUAAGAAAGAAAACAAAUGCUGGAAAUUCUUCACAUGGAAGGAGAUAAGUUUUAACACUAUGUCACAAUGGCUGUUACUCUAAGUCUGCUGCUCAACUCUUGUUGAUGUAGAUGUAACACUUUAAAGCAUAUCAUUUCACCAGCAGGUGUCUCUAUCGGUUAGCAAGAUUUUUUUUUCAGAGUAGUAGCUUUACCAGUAGAUGAAAAUUUGGGGCCUAGAAAUGCUAAUGAUCAGAUACAGUAGCUCACAGACAAGAACUCAGAUCCAAACUCAAUAGUACAACCCCAAGAGUGUGGAUUAUGCUUUGAAUGUAGUAAUGACAAAGCUUUCUAACAUUUAAAGAUGUGUUGUAGAUUAAAUGCUUAUUUCUUUCAGUUAGUGUCUACCCAGUUUCCUUCACUGAAUGUGCAGAAGAGAAGAAAACAAUGCCUUCACCAGUCCCAGGAGUUCACACAUUUUAUUCAGCAGACAUUUCCGAGAACCUAUUUUGUGAGCUCAAAUUAUAAGUCUUAGAUCGAAUGGACUGGAAACAGGAAGUGUUGAGAUUUAUGGAUUCCAAAGCUGGAAGAAAUUCAAGAUGUCUACCAUUCAAUGAGUUGUCUGUCAUUGAAUCCUUCUACAAUACUCUUUCCUGGUAGUUAGGAUUAUUCGUUUGAUCACCUCAAUAAAGG
rnacentral:lncRNA from 1 species